GAUGAACGCUGGCGGCGUGCCUAAUACAUGCAAGUCGAGCGAAUGGAUUAAGAGCUUGCUCUUAUGAAGCUAGCGGCGGACGGGUGAGUAACACGUGGGUAACCUGCCCAUAAGACUGGGAUAACUCCGGGAAACCGGGGCUAAUACCGGAUAACAUUUUGAACCGCAUGGUUCGAAAUUGAAAGGCGGCUUCGGCUGUCACUUAUGGAUGGACCCGCGUCGCAUUAGCUAGUUGGUGAGGUAACGGCUCACCAAGGCAACGAUGCGUAGCCGGCCUGAGAGGGUGAUCGGCCACACUGGGACUGAGACACGGCCCAGACUCCUACCGGAGGCAGCAGUAGGGAAGCUUCCGCAAUGGACGAAAGUCUGACGGAGCAACGCCGCGUUAGUGAUGAAGGCUUUCGGGUCGUAAAACUCUGUUGUUAGGGAAGAACAAGUGCUAGUUGAAUAAGCUGGCACCUUGACGGUACCUAACCAGAAAGCCACGGCUAACUACGUGCCAGCCGCCGCGGUAA
rnacentral:rRNA from 1 species